CCUACGGGAGGCAGCAGUGAGGAAUAUUGGUCAAUGGACGAGAGUCUGAACCAGCCAAGUAGCGUGAAGGAUGACUGCCCUAUGGGUUGUAAACUUCUUUUAUAUGGGAAUAAAAUGUUCCACGUGUGGGAUUUUGUAUGUACCAUAUGAAUAAGGAUCGGCUAACUCCGUGCCAGCAGCCGCGGUAAUACGGAGGAUCCGAGCGUUAUCCGGAUUUAUUGGGUUUAAAGGGAGCGUAGGUGGAUUGUUAAGUCAGUUGUGAAAGUUUGCGGCUCAACCGUAAAAUUGCAGUUGAAACUGGCAGUCUUGAGGACAGUAGAGGUGGGCGGAAUUCGUGGUGUAGCGGUGAAAUGCUUAGAUAUCACGAAGAACUCCGAUUGCGAAGGCAGUUCACUGGACUGCAACUGACACUGAGGCUCGAAAGUGUGGGUAUCAAACAGGAUGAGAUACCCCAGUAGUC
rnacentral:rRNA from 1 species